GACAGAGGGUGCGAACGUUGUUCGGAAUUAUUGGGCGUAAAGCGCGUGUAGGCGGCAGGGCAAGUCGGGCGUGAAAUCUCACGGCUCAACCGUGGAAGUGCACUCGAAACUGCGCAGCUAGAGUCCUGGAGAGGAAGGUGGAAUGCUUGGUGUAGAGGUGAAAUUCGUAGAUAUCAAGCGGAACACCGGUGGCGAAGGCGGCCUUCUGGACAGUGACUGACGCUGAGACGCGAAAGCGUGGGGAGCAAACAGG
rnacentral:rRNA from 1 species